rnacentral:misc_RNA from 1 species
GAUGAAGAACGUAGCAAAAUGCGAUACUUGGUGUGAAUUGCAGAAUCCCGUGAACCAUCGAGUUUUUGAACGCAAGUUGCGCCCGAAGCCAUUAGGCCGAGGGCACGCCUGCCUGGGCGUCACACGUCGUUGCCCCCCCCAUCUACUCCUUCGGGAUUGCGGGGGGCGGAUGAUGGCCUCCCGUGUGCCUCGCCGCGCGGUUGGCAUAAAUGCCAAGUCCUCGGCGACGCACGCCACGACAAUCGGUGGUUGCGAAACCUCGGUUGCCCGUCGUGUGCGGUCGUCGCGCAUCGAGGGCUCGAAAAAAUUGCCGGGUUCCGGCUCGGCUUUCAACGCGACCCCAGGUCAGGCGGGGUUACCCGCUGAAUUUAAGCAUAUCAAUAAGCGGAGGA